GCUUAUACUUGUGGGUGUUGGU
rnacentral:siRNA from 1 species